CCUACGGGAGGCAGCAGUGGGGAAUUUUGCGCAAUGCUCGUAAGAGUGACGCAGCGACGCCGCGUGAAUGACGAAGGCCUUCGGGUCGUAAAGUUCUUUCGACAGGGAAGAAAAUGCCUAUAAGUAACUGUGUAUGUAUUGACGGUACCUGUAUAAGCAGCCCCGGCUAACUCCGUGCCAGCAGCCGCGGUAAUACGGAGGGGGCGAGCGUUGUUCGGAGUGACUGGGCGUAAAGAGCACGUAGGCGGUGUUGUAAGUCAUUAGUCAAAGACUAGAGCUCAACUUUAGUAAGGCUAGUGAUACUAUAAUACGAGAGUAUCAGAGAGGAUUGCAGAAUUCCUGGUGUAGCGGUGAAAUGCGUAGAUAUCAGGAGGAAUACCGUUAGCGAAGGCGGCAAUCUGGCUGGAAACUGACGCUGAGGUGCGAAAGCGUGGGUAACAAACAGGAUUAGAUACCCGAGUAGUU
rnacentral:rRNA from 1 species